GGUUCGGGAGCUGUUCGGUGGGACGAGCAGCAUGAAUUGAACCACCCCCUGCUUCGCAAGCGGCCCGUAUCCGUAGCCCGACGGAAUACGCG
rfam:Cryomorphaceae bacterium BACL7 MAG-120910-bin24 contig00085_1_120910-bin24, whole genome shotgun sequence.